rnacentral:rRNA from 1 species
AUUGAACGCUGGCGGCAGGCCUAACACAUGCAAGUCGAGCGGAGCGGCGGACGGGCGAGUAAGGCCUAGGAAUCUGCCUGGUAGUGGGGGAUAACGUCCGGAAACGGGCGCUAAUACCGCAUACUCUCAGAUGAGCCUAUGUCGGAUUAGCUAGUUGGUGGGGUAAGGUCCUACCAAGGCGACGAUCCGUAACUGGUCUGAGAGGAUGAUCAGUCACACUGGAACUGAGACACGGUCCAGACUCCUACGGGAGGCAGCAGUGGGGAAUAUUGGACAAUGGGCGCAAUCCUGAUGCAGCCAUGCCGCGUGUGUGAAGAAGGUCUUCGGAUUGUAGAGUACUUUAAGUUGGGAGGCGUUACCAACAGAAUAAGCACCGGCUAACUUCGUGCCAGCAGCCGCGGUAAUAC